CGCAAUUUUAAACCCAGUAACUUACUGAUGCUUGCAUUAUUACUUGGAAUAUGUACACACCAUCACUAGUUCUUCCAAAGGAAGAAUUUCUCAACCACUUCAUGCGAAAAUCAGACCAGGGAUGAAGCUGAGCCUAAGGAAGACCAGACGGAUGUGAUACUGGUGGGCAGAGGAAAGUGCUAUGAGGCAUCUGCAGCCACUCUGCUAUCUCCUCUAACUGAAGAGCUCAGGAUGCGAGCUGGCACAUUUGAAGGAAGAAGGAACCUGAAAACUGACAUCGCUGACAACACCUGCCUCAGCUUUCUGUGUUCCCAGUGUCGCAGAUACUCUGCAGAGAUUAAAAAGAAUAACGAGAGACCUUGAAACUCUGACCAGCAAGAAAAAA
rnacentral:lncRNA from 1 species